rnacentral:rRNA from 1 species
AUUGAACGCUGGCGGCAUGCCUUACACAUGCAAGUCGAACGGUAACGGGCCUUCGGGUGCCGACGAGUGGCGAACGGGUGAGUAAUGCAUCGGAACGUACCUUUCAGUGGGGGAUAACGUAGCGAAAGUUACGCUAAUACCGCAUAUUCUGUGAGCAGGAAAGCAGGGGAUCGCAAGACCUUGCGCUGAUUGAGCGGCCGAUGUCAGAUUAGCUAGUUGGUGAGGUAAAGGCUCACCAAGGCGACGAUCUGUAGCGGGUCUGAGCGGAUGAUCCGCCACACCGGAACUGAGACACGGGCCAGACUCCUACGGGAGGCAGCAGUGGGGAAUUUUGGACAAUGGGCGAAGGCCUGAUCCAGCCAUUCCGCGUGAGUGAAGAAGGCCUUUGGGUUGUAAAGCCCUUUCGGCAGGGAAGAAACGGCUUGGGAUAAUACCCCGGGCUAAUGACGGUACCUGAAGAAGAAGCACCGGCUAACUACGUGCCAGCCGCCGCCGUAAUAC